GGAUGGGAGCUUGCUCCCUGAAAUCAGCGGCGGACGGGUGAGUAACACGUGGGCAACCUGCCUGUAAGACUGGGAUAACUUCGGGAAACCGGAGCUAAUACCGGAUAAUCCAUUCCCUCACAUGAGGGAAUGCUGAAAGACGGCUUUUAGCUGUCACUUACAGAUGGGCCCGCGGCGCAUUAGCUAGUUGGUGAGGUAACGGCUCACCAAGGCGACGAUGCGUAGCCGACCUGAGAGGGUGAUCGGCCACACUGGGACUGAGACACGGCCCAGACUCCUACGGGAGGCAGCAGUAGGGAAUCUUCCGCAAUGGACGAAAGUCUGACGGAGCAACGCCGCGUGAGUGAUGAAGGCCUUCGGGUCGUAAAGCUCUGUUGUUAGGGAAGAACAAGUAUCGGAGUAACUGCCGGUACCUUGACGGUACCUAACCAGAAAGCCACGGCUAACUACGUGCCAGCAGCCGCGGUAAUACGUAGGUGGCAAGCGUUGUCCGGAAUUAUUGGGCGUAAAGCGCGCGCAGGCGGUUCCUUAAGUCUGAUGUGAAAGCCCACGGCUCAACCGUGGAGGGUCAUUGGAAACUGGGGAACUUGAGUGCAGAAGAGAAGAGCGGAAUUCCACGUGUAGCGGUGAAAUGCGUAGAGAUGUGGAGGAACACCAGUGGCGAAGGCGGCUCUUUGGUCUGUAACUGACGCUGAGGCGCGAAAGCGUGGGGAGCG
rnacentral:rRNA from 1 species